UACGAAGGGGGCUAGCGUUGUUCGGAAUUACUGGGCGUAAAGGGCUCGUAGGCGGCCAACUAAGUCGGAUGUGAAAUCCCCAGGCUCAACUUGGGAACUGCAUCCGAUACUGGAUGGCUUGAAUUCGGGAGAGGGAUGCAGAAUUCCAGGUGUAGCGGUGAAAUGCGUAGAUAUCUGGAGGAACACCGGUGGCGGAGGCGGCUUGCUGGGCCAGUUCUGACGCUGAGGAGCGAAAGCGUGGGGAGCGAACAGG
rnacentral:rRNA from 1 species